rnacentral:rRNA from 1 species
UGGGGAAUAUUGGACAAUGGACGAAAGUCUGAUCCAGCGAUGCCGCGUGAGUGAAGAAUGUCUUCGGAUUGUAAAGCUCUUUUAUCAGGGAAGAAAAGUCUGUGUUAAUAGCACAAGACGCUGACGGUACCUGAAGAAUAAGGAUCGGCUAACUACGUGCCAGCAGCCGCGGUAAUACGUAGGAUCCAAGCGUUAAUCGGAAUUAUUGGGCGUAAAGAAUUUGUAGGUUGUUAUGUAAGUUGGUUGUGAAAGCCCCGGGCUUAACCUGGGAAUUGCGAUCAAAACUACAUGGCUAGAGUAUGUAAGAGGUAAGUGGAAUUCCUAGUGUAGCAGUGAAAUGCGUAGAUAUUAGGAGGAACACCAGUGGCGAAGGCGACUUACUGGGACAAUACUGACACUGAGAAAUGAAAGCGUGGGGAGCAAACG